rnacentral:rRNA from 1 species
GAUGAACGCUAGCGGCAGGCCUAACACAUGCAAGUCGAGGGAGAAGCCCUUUCGGGGGCAGAAACCGGCGCACGGGUGCGUAACGCGUAUGCAACCUACCUUUCACAGGGGGAUAGCCCGAAGAAAUUUGGAUUAAUACCCCAUAAUAUUAUUGGAUGGCAUCAUUUGAUAAUUAAAACUGCGGUGGUGAAAGAUGGGCAUGCGUCCUAUUAGCUAGUUGGAGUGGUAACGGCACCCCAAGGCUACGAUAGGUAGGGGUCCUGAGAGGGAGAUCCCCCACACUGGUACUGAGACAGGGACCAGACUCCUACGGGAGGCAGCAGUGAGGAAUAUUGAUCAAUGGUCGGAAGACUGAACCAGCCAUGCCGCGUGCAGGAAGAAUGCCUUAUGGGUUGUAAACUGCUUUUAUAUGGGAAGAAUAAGGCGUACGUGUACGCUGAUGACGGUACCAUAUGAAUAAGCAUCGGCUAACUCCGUG